GCAAUUACUGUUUUUAUUUUUUUAUUUAGUGGCGGAAACGGGCUUCCAUAGAAUCCAAACCAGAAUCCAGAAUCAAAGUAUUUAUUUCCCUUUCCUGAAGAGUUGCUAUUUCUGAAGGACAAGUUUCUUUCUUGGGCAUGUUGCAAAGAUAUUGCUAUUAACAUACCACCCUUUCCUUUUGUGUCUGAAAUAUAUCUGAUAAGAAUAGCCCAGGCUGAUGCCGCUGGAAUCCCCCCAUGCCGCCUGCACUGUUGACUCCGGAACGACCUGGGCGGUGAUCGUGGCACUUGGCAGAAUGUAUCACUUUCCCAGAGCUCCACAGAGGAUGCCUUUCCUUUGGAAACCAGAGACACGUCUGUCUGAAGUCAUGGGGUUCAGCGGCACCAGACACCCUCCAGUCCAGUAUGGGACCCUCGAACGAAGACCAUGCCUAAUCUGAAACUGCCAUUCUCCCUGCGCAGCAGACUUUUACACAUGCAAAAUGGAUAUCAGAGCGCUUUGGCUGCCUGACAACACCAGGCUCUCUGACAAAGAGAGGCUGGAGAGGAAAAUGAAUGAAAAAGAGAAAAGGACAGCGAGAGUCAAGACGAUGCCCUGGACAGUUCAAAGGGUGCAUUCCUAGCAUUUGACAGAGGGUAAAUGAUGCAUUUCAAACUCAAAUCUAUUUCCUCUGUUUUAAUGAAGUCAACUGUGAAUAAUAUCGAGUCGCUAGAGAUGUUUCUGGUCCCAAGACACUAAGAGGUAAAAGUUGUAAAAACAAGUUGAAAACAUGCAAGUGAAAUCUUCCAAGCUACUUUUGAAAUCAAAAUGCUUUUGCUAAUAAUUUAUGCAGUUCAAACAAUGAACAAUUAUCCUUUGACACGACAUUAAACAUUCACAAUACAUUCUACUUCUGUAAUGUGAUGCAUUUCUGAAUGUGAUCAAGAAAAAAGGGGACUGGAUCAUGAAAAAUACUGGAGCCUCUACCUGCUGGAAACCAAGUAGGUGACUAGGAUAUGGAAGAUGAUAAUCAUCUCUGUUUAUAUCAAUGAUAACACUUUUUUUCAAAUCUAUUGCAAUUUGCUACUGUUGCUGUAAGUGUUAUUAUGUAGGUAAACUGGUGUUUAAUUACUAUUGGAAAGGCUGCAUUACCUACAACAGUAGUCCAAAAUUAUGCCUAAAAUGCUCUUUGGCUAUUGGUUAACAUUCUUUUCCAUGCCAGCCAAGCUAAGUGAUGUCAGCUGAAACGAAAAGUCAGCAAGAAGCAGUCACACUACACAGUCUAUGAGUAGGAAACAGAAGGAUCAAGUAUUUAUUUAAUAGUAUUUUAAAGCUACUGUACAUGAAUAGACAGGAAGAACAAUUGAGAUAUUGUUAUUCUCUGAUACAUCUUUAGAAACAGUUAUUUAAAGAUCUUUAGAAGCAGAUGUGUUGCCUUAAAAAAAAACAAUUCUGUUUUAUUUCCUGUACUUAAACACACGCAUGCAGGUGUUUAUACUUACACACACAAAUACACAUAUUUGAGUAAAAAAAAAAAAAAAAAAGUAAAUAAAACAGAAUCACUUGCCAGAUGGCCAGUAAUUUUAUAAUAUAUACAUUUUAAAUAUGUAUUUGUUGAGCUGUUUACUAAAUGCAAUUUAUUAUUAUUAUUAUUUAUAAUAAAAUGCUAAUUAAAAUAAACAACAUAAUAAUAAUUAUAUUAUAAUUAACAAUUAUGA